rnacentral:lncRNA from 1 species
CACAGGCACUCGAGCAAGGCGAGCCAUGAGCACCAAGAGCCUUGCAAAAAACUAAGGCAAGACGAUUAAAUCAAAUGGUGCCUAGGCAAGUGCCCGAGGCGAGGUGUUGGAUGGCUUAGGUGCUCGCCUGGCCCAACCUAGAUGCCUCACUAGCCUAGUCCACUCCAAUAGAGCUUAAAUCAAAGCCUAAGCCUAAUCAAAGUUGAUGAAUUGAUUGACUAAACCAAUUCACUAAUGGUUCUUCAAUCCCUCGAACUCCUUUCAUGCUGGUGACACCAUAGCUUCUUCAUUACCACCAUGACCACUUGGUAUUCAUCAUUGCGACCUUCGAAGGCCUAUCAUUGCCGUUGUGAUUUUUGCGGAUAAGUGUCUUCACCUUUUUCUCUUAUAGCUCUUCUCUAAUUGUUGUUAUACUCGCUAUUGCUUAUGCAAUGAUUUUCAUCUCCAUCUCCGCGUCCAACAACUAUUCUCCAAUCGACUAUCACUAUGUUGCCCGCUGUGAAUUUUCUUACAAUAGCCUCUGACAACUAUUCUUCAACCACCAGCAACCACCACCAUGAUUUUCACUUACAAUCGCCUUCAAGAGCUAUUCUCUGAUCACUUUCGCUUGCGACAAGUCUUCUCCAAUUGAUUGUUGUUGCGCUAUGACCUUUGCCAACAACCACCUCCACUUCUCUCAGUGCUUUUAUAACUGCCUACUUACCUACUAUUGUCAUUGUGAUUCAUGCCGAUGAUCACUUCGCCUCCAUCUUCGUCUCCAAUGGCUUCUCCUUGUGUUCUCCUACAGCCUACUUGUUUGUGGUGAUCACCGUUUUUUUCAAUUAUAUUAUUUUUAACCUGAUUAGUAAUUUUUUAAAUUAUAAUGGUGAGUGUCUCACUUUCGUUGACGGGAUAGCUUAAUCGAAUGUCUAACACCUCAGCUUUUUGGAAUUUUGCACCUUUGACAACACAGAAGACAAAGCAUUAACUAAGUCAUUUUGUCAUACUCUGAGCACAAUUUAUAUAUAAACUUUAUAUGACAAAUACUUACAUGUAACUGGGUAGAGUAAGAAAGGUAAUCAAAAGGUAGGACUGGAUCAUCUGCUAGCCGAAGACCUAAGAGGCCCCAAAGUUCAGCAACUGAGAAACAUGCAACAAACUCAAUAACUGAAAUAAUUAUGGAUAAAGAAUCAACUGAAAGCAACAUUUCUAAG